rnacentral:rRNA from 1 species
AUUGAACGCUGGCGGCAUGCCUUACACAUGCAAGUCGAACGGCAGCACGGGUGCUUGCACCUGGUGGCGAGUGGCGAACGGGUGAGUAAUACAUCGGAACAUGUCCUGUAGUGGGGGAUAGCCCGGCGAAAGCCGGAUUAAUACCGCAUACGAUCCACGGAUGAAAGCGGGGGCCCUUCGGGCCUCGCGCUUUGGGGUUGGCCGAUGGCUGAUUAGCUAGUUGGUGGGGUAAAGGCCUACCAAGGCGACGAUCAGUAGCUGGUCUGAGAGGACGACCAGCCACACUGGGACUGAGACACGGCCCAGACUCCUACGGGAGGCAGCAGUGGGGAAUUUUGGACAAUGGGCGAAAGCCUGAUCCAGCAAUGCCGCGUGUGUGAAGAAGGCCUUCGGGUUGUAAAGCACUUUUGUCCGGAAAGAAAUCCUUGACUCUAAUACAGUCGGGGGAUGACGGUACCGGAAGAAUAAGCACCGGCUAACUACGUG